GUGUGCUGGAGGCUCUGAUGGCGGCCGCAUGGGGGAGCUCCCUUUACUUGCGGCCGCAGAGAGAGCUCUUUUGGCGGCCGCCGGGCGAGCUGGCUGUUCUGUCUCUGCUGAUGAUAUGAUAUUCCGGCCCCGGUCUCAUUAAGCGGCACGCUGGGAAGGGGGAGCAGAUACAGAACAGCCAGCUCCCCUUGCGGCCGCCAAAAGAGCUCUCUCUGCGGCCGCAGGUGAGCCA